CCCUGCCACAGCAGGAAAGCAGAGGGGUCCUUUGGAGUGCAAGGAUGGACAUUUUUUAGAAAACACACCCAAGGAGCUCUUUUUAGGUCAGAAUAUGCAUUUUUAAACACUUCCCAUCACGUCCCAGACAUCACAGAGAGGUUUGUGUUUGACAUAGAAACCCUGGAAUGCUCCCACAACUCCUCCAGGCUCGUCCUAAAUCCCUUGGUCCCUCCCUUUUUGGAAGGAGGAGGCAUUUUGUGUCACAGCAGGGGCAGACUGUGGCUCCCUGUUUGGCAAAUCCAGGAGUUUCACAGCGGAGCUGUCGAAGGAAAAGGGAAAACUGGUGAACCACAUAAUUAGUUUUUGAUUCAGUGAUUAAUAUCACUUGCAAACAGGAUUGCUCUCCAGGGGCACACGGAAAUAUCUUCCCAUGGCUGUUUUGGGUGUGCACGGGCAGGCUGUGCCGCUCGGGGACUGCAGGUGCUGAUAAGGGACUUGCCAGCCUGGAGCCAUCAGGUGUGCGUGACAUUAUUGGCACUGCAGACAAGCCCUUGCUGUUUUAUAAAUGGUGCAGUGCUGGAUGGGAGCUCCUGAUGCCAGGGACAGAGCUGCUUCCCAGCUUUUGGGGCUGGCUCAGCUCAUCUGUGCUUUUCUCUGCCAUAUCUCCAGUUUGUUGCGGGGCUUUUCUCUAUGAGGGUUUGCAUUUGCAGAGAUGAGGUUUCCACUCCCCCCACGGCAGAGGGGGUGGAACCAGAUGGUUUUUAAGGUCCCUUCCAACCCAAACCUGGGAUUCUCUGCUGGUAUUACAGCAGACACUGAGGAUCAGCAUCUUUCCUUAGGCCCUUGGAGCAAAAACAGCUCCAAAACAAAAAAGUGAUUUUUAUUUUCCUGAAGCAAUGACUUUCUAGAUUCACUUCAUGGCCAAGCACCUACUGGCAUCCAGGGCUUGAACCUGCUCCUCCCUGCAGGAGUUUGGGUGUGCUGGGUGUUUGCAGAGGUGGGACCAGGAAAAAUAAAACUGAAAGUCACGUCA
rnacentral:lncRNA from 1 species